UGUGUGUGUGUGUGUGUGUGUGCGGUGGGACAUUUAGUGACUGCUUGUUUGUUGAGCCAGCUGCUGGCCUAGGCCUUCACCCCCCACGGCCUUCUCUUUCCACCCAACCCUCAGUUGAUCAUUACCCAGCCAAGUGCAGAAGGCUCAUUCCUAGGGCCUGAGUUGGCCCAGCCCUCAGUAGGGAGAGGAUGGGGGUCUUCUGACCCAGGGCCAGGGCCAUUUGGAAUGGCUCAGGACUGCCCUUGGGUGCCUCAGAGGAGACCGGGCAACCCUAGGCCUCUGUCUCCACCACCUGAACCCUGCUCUUGAAAGUUGUCUAAAGCACUGUCCACUUGGCCUUAUCUUGCCUUGCUCGCAUUUGGUUGCUUAGUUCUGGUCACACCAUGCCAGUGUCCAGGAUCCCAGGCUAGGUUAGCAAGGCAGGUAGGUGCGUGGUGAGUGCCCCUUCAACCAUCGAGGCUGUGUGUUUACACGGCAGCCUGGGCCCACUGGCUGCCCUGUGCCAGGUUCCAGAGACUUGGAACCCGAAGCCAUUGCAGCAGCAGCGCCUCUGUGGAAAGCACCCGACUCAGACGUGUGUGACUCUCUGAUGCCACCUGUCGCUUAUAUCCGCAGAAACGUCCACACAGCUCGCAGACACACCGAGGAGGGUAGGGUAACCCAGCGUCUCCCGCUAGUAAACAGGCAUUUAAGAGCCAUGUGAAGCCCACUGAGCUGAAAAGGCUGGGACACCCAACAACUUCCUGCCAGCUUGCUGCCAUGGCUUUGUCCGAGCGCUGCCUGGACGGCACCUCUAAGCACUGGUCCGCGUCCUCCAGGCUGCUAGAUGAGAAGUGCCGGCACCGGGCACUGUGAUGGUCGACCAUGUCAUCAUGCUGCCAGGUACCUGGAGAAGAAAACCAAAGGCUAUGGGAGCCAUAACAGAUCAAGUCCACAUGGUGUCUCCAGCAGGGCAGCACAGGAGCCAACACAGAAUCUAGUGUGUAACCUGAGACGCCCGAGUCAUUCAGGAGAGGAAGAGCAGGGGAAGGAGGUGCUGACAUGUUCCAGGCUUGUAUGGGGCCAGGGCCUGCUGGGACCGUAUCUGGCACAGGCUGAAGGAGAGUGGCGACCACAGAAGGUCCUGUGGCUCAAUACCUUCAGCUACUUCGCCGAGCGAGUAAAGCACUGGACCCAGGAGUGGCUGUUCUGAAGCUGAAGCAGGUCUUCACUGGGGACACUGAGGGAAUUACCAAGGACACUGUGAAGUGGGCCUCUGUGCUGGAACCAGGAGGGAAGGACAUCUGGCCCAGCACGGCUCUUAGGAAGUGGGCUUUGAUGCUGCUGAAUGGGCACACUGAGGUCAGUGCUCGAUUGUGAUUCAGGAUGGUUUCUCUGUGCAGCCCUAGCUGUAGUGGAACCUCUUCCUUCCUCCAAGUGCUAGGGUUAAAGGCAUGCAUCACCACCACCCGGCUAAAUUUUAGUAUUUUUCGGGGGGGUCUAGCUCCUGGUCUGCAGCUUGCAGUGAUCCGGCUGCCUCUGUUUCACAAGUCUGGGAUUAUUGGCGUGUGCAGCGUGACUGGCCUUGAAUAACUAAAUGGCCACUUUGCAGAUUCAGUUUGAUGUCAUGAAGAGCAAUGGGCAUGCUGAGAAGUUGGGGCCUCAGAGAGCCACGUAUCCCUGCCCUCUGGCUUCUCAUUUGGGAUUCAAGGCUUGCAUGUGUGAUCAAUGGAGACCUAAAUCUCACUGGAUCAGAAAGUCAUUCACUGGCCUACAAAGUGCUUUUAGAUUUCUCUGUUAUCCUCAAACAUGUGUCCCUUGCCGAGUUAUGGUUCCCAUUCUAAAAGCGCAUUCCUCCUUUCCAGGGCCUCCAUGGGGAGGUGUCUGUCUUCUCAGACUUCCUGAGGAUGAACACAGGACAGUCCACCUGACAUGGUGUCUGUAAGACUGUGCUGGAAGGUGGGGUUGGGAACUUUUGCCUGUUUUCUCAGGAGCUGCUCUUCGCCUCCUCUCAGCACCUACGCACGCCCUGGCCUUCCUAGUCAGAACUGCAGCACAGGCAGAGGGGACUGUGGGGAGAGCGGGGGAAGAGCAGAGGGUGUCUCCCGUCAGGUUCAUGUUCAGCAGGCUGCCACUCACCGGGACAGGUCUUGUCCAGCCUCACUGGACACAAAACUGUUCCUACUGAAGACCAAAGGCUACAGUGCUGCCUAAGUGAGCCCAGCAGAGAAGCCCGUGCUUCCUCAGCCACACCGUCUUAGAUGUUCUUCACUAAAGCAAAACCAGACCAGCUACCAGAGUCCUGCCUUUCCUGGGUGCCAGGGCAUCCCAGGAGCUCAGCGAGAGAGCUGCCACAGGAGGAGGCGUGGGAAGAGAAAGUACACAGUGUCUUCUGCAGCAUUCCCUCUAAUCCCGUGGAUUCUGAGUCCCAGGAAGAGCUGAGAAAGUCACUAAGGUCACUGAUACCCUGUUUGCCUGACAUGCCAUCAAGAUAACCAGUCCCCACAGCCACCUAGCUGAGCACUGCCACUAAGUCACGGUAGUUCCCCUUUCUUUACCCCUUAGCAGAUACCCAAGAAAGCAACAUGGAAGAG